UGGGGAAUAUUGGACAAUGGGCGCAAAGCCCUGAUCCAGCCAUGCCGCGUGAGUGAUGAAGGCCUUAGGGUUGUAAAGCUCUUUCACCCACGACGAUAAUGACGGUAGUGGGAGAAGAAGCCCCGGCUAACUUCGUGCCAGCAGCCGCGGUAAUACGAAGGGGGCUAGCGUUGCUCGGAAUCACUGGGCGUAAAGGGCGCGUAGGCGGACGUUUAAGUCAGGGGUGAAAGCCCGAGGCUCAACCUCGGAAUUGCCCUUGAUACUGGAUGUCUCGAGACCGGAAGAGGUGAGUGGAACUGCGAGUGUAGAGGUGAAAUUCGUAGAUAUUCGCAAGAACACCAGUGGCGAAGGCGGCUCACUGGUCCGGAUCUGACGCUGAGGCGCGAAAGCGUGGGGAGCAAACAGGAUUAGAUAGCCCUGGUAGUCCACGCCGUAAACGAUGGAUUGCUAGCCGUUGGCCAGCUUGCUGGUCCGUGGCGCAGCUAACGCUUUAAGCAUCCCGCCUGGGGAGUCGGCCGC
rnacentral:rRNA from 1 species